GACGAACGCUGGCGGCGUGCCUAAUACAUGCAAGUAGAACGCUGAAGAGAGGAGCUUGCUCUUCUUGGAUGAGUUGCGAACGGGUGAGUAACGCGUAGGUAACCUGCCUGGUAGCGGGGGAUAACUAUUGGAAACGAUAGCUAAUACCGCAUAAAAUGGAUUAUCGCAUGAUAAUCCAUUGAAAGGUGCAACUGCAUCACUACCAGAUGGACCUGCGUUGUAUUAGCUAGUUGGUGGGGUAACGGCUCACCAAGGCGACGAUACAUAGCCGACCUGAGAGGGUGAGCGGCCACACUGGGACUGGGACACGGCCCAGACUCCUACGGGAGGCAGCAGUAGGGAAUCUUCGGCAAUGGACGGAAGUCUGACCGAGCAACGCCGCGUGAGUGAAGAAGGUUGUCGGAUCGUAAAGCUCUGUUGUAAGAGAAGAACGAGUGUGAGAGUGGAAAGUUCACACUGUGACGGUAUCUUACCAGAAAGGGACGGCUAACUACGUG
rnacentral:rRNA from 1 species